GUGGUACUCAAACUAUGGGGCACUUUUUGCUCUGGAAUAAAGUGCUGCUAGGUUUUGAGCAUUAC
rfam:Cricetulus griseus cell line CHO-K1, whole genome shotgun sequence.